UGGGGAAUGUUGGACAAUGGGCGCAAGCCUGAUCCAGCAAUGCCGCGUGUGUGAAGAAGGCCUUCGGGUUGUAAAGCACUUUUAUCAGGAGCGAAACGCUGUCGGCUAAUACCCGGCGGAACUGACGGUACCUGAGGAAUAAGCACCGGCUAACUUCGUGCCAGCAGCCGCGGUAAUACGAAGGGUGCAAGCGUUAAUCGGAAUUACUGGACGUAAAGCGUGCGUAGGCGGUUUCUUAAGUCUGCUGUGAAAUCCCCGGGCUCAACCUGGGAAUGGCAGUGGAUACUGGGAGGCUAGAGUGUGUCAGAGGGUGGUGGAAUUCCCGGUGUAGCGGUGAAAUGCGUAGAGAUCGGGAGGAACAUCAGUGGCGAAGGCGGCCACCUGGGACAACACUGACGCUGAGGCACGAAAGCGUGGGGAGCAAACAGGAUUAGAUACCCUGGUAGUCCACGCCCUAAACGAUGCGAACUGGAUGUUGGUCUCAACUCGGAGAUCAGUGUCGAAGCUAACGCGUGAAGUUGACCGCCUGGGGGAGUACGGUCGCAA
rnacentral:rRNA from 1 species